AUUGGUGGUCUCAGCCAAGGGAGGUUGUGAAUGGACUCUGGCUGCUCUUUCUUGAUCUUCUUGAUGCAGACUGACAGGCUGCUGUGGCUGACUGAGGAAGGGGCGGCUGGAUCAUCUGAAUGCAGAGACUCUGCUGAGAGAAGGCGAGCAAAGAGGAGGCCCCGGCAGCGAGAGAGAGACUCUGCCGCCCUGGGAGAUGGAUGAGUCGGAUGCAACUAACCCUGGAUGAGAAUCCAUUGGUCAGCGAAGUAUCUUUCCAGGAACUAGUUUUCUAGAAGGUUCUAUCUCCAGCGGGAUUUCUCAGCAGCUGCACAAGGUGCAUAGCCAUUUGUUGCUCAAGAGAACAAAUCCUAGUGUCAGAAACACCAGAACAAGGUCUCUUAAAUCUAAUGACUUCUACUUGAUGGCCUUAUGUUU